rnacentral:rRNA from 1 species
UACGGGGGGGGCAAGCGUUGUUCGGAAUCACUGGGCUUAAAGGGCGCGUAGGCGGUCAGCACAAGUCAGUUGUGAAAUCUCCGGGCUUAACUCGGAAAGGUCAACUGAUACUGUGCGACUAGAGUGCGGAAGGGGCAACUGGAAUUCUUGGUGUAGCGGUGAAAUGCGUAGAUAUCUGCAGGAACACCCGUGGCGAAAGCGGCGCGCUGGACCACUACUGACGCUGAGGAACGAAAGCUAGGGGAGCAAACAGG